rnacentral:rRNA from 1 species
UAGGGAAUCUUCCGCAAUGGACGAAAGUCUGACGGAGCAACGCCGCGUGAGUGAAGAAGGCUUUCGGUUCGUAAAACUCUGUUGUUAGGGAAGAAAAAAUGUAUAGUAACUAUAUACAAAAGAGACGGUACCUAACCAGAAAGCCACGGCUAACUACGUGUCAGCAGCCGCGGUAAUACGUAGGUGGCAAGCGUUGUCCGGAAUUAUUGGGCGUAAAGCGCGCGCAGGUGGUUUAGAAAGUCUGAUGUGAAAGCCCACGGCUCAACCGUGGAGGGUCAUUGGAAACUAAUAAACUUGAGUGCAGGAGAGAAAAGUGGAAUUCCUAGUGUAGCGGUGAAAUGCGUAGAGAUUAGGAGGAACACCGGUGGCGAAAGCGGCUUUUUGGCCUGCAACUGACACUGAGGCGCGAAAGCGUGGGGAGCAAACAGG